AAUGAACGCAGGCGGCGCGCCUAAUACAUGCAAGUCGAGCGAGAAGACGUAGCAAUACGUUUGUAAAGCGGCGAACGGGUGAGGAAUACAUGGGUAACCUACCCUCGAGUGGGGAAGUAACUAGCCGAAGGUUAGCUAAUACCGCGUACGCUCCUUGGACUUCGGUUCAGGGAGGGAAAGCGAUACCGUGGGUAUCGCGCUCUUGGUUGGGCGUCAUGUCCUAUCAGCUUGUUGGUGAGGUAACGGCUCACCAAGGCUUCGACGGGUAGCUGGUCUGAGAGGACGAUCAGCCACACUGGCACUGCGACACGGGCCAGACUCCUACGGGAGGCAGCAGUAAGGAAUAUUGCGCAAUGGGCGAAAGCCUGACGCAGCGACGCCGCGUGGGGGA
rnacentral:rRNA from 1 species